CGCGGUGAAUACGUUCCCGGGCCUUGUACACACCGCCCGUCAAACAGUGGAAGUUGGGGGUAUCUAAAGUCGGUAGCCGCAAGGCGCCGCCUAGGGUAAAACUGAUAACUGGUGUU
rnacentral:rRNA from 1 species